GUUAUCCAAAUCAUUUAUAUAUUUCUUUCUUUCUCUUAUUUUCUCACAUGAUGUCAGAAUCUCUAUGAUCAUAGUAGAGGCUAAGUAACUUUCAAGGUUUCACUUAUUGGUUGGUCGUUCGACAAAUGUGUUUCUUUUUUCACUCUCCUUAUAUCUUUCGGCGUCUGCUUUGAGUAUCUAAAUAUUCAUCGAUAGCGAACUCUUUUUUCUUGUACAAAAUACAUACUCCAUAUUUUAAUUCUGGAAUUGUACUAAAUUACUAAAUUGAAUUGGAUUUGUGAGAAGGCACGGGAGAAGAAUAUAUUAU
rnacentral:lncRNA from 1 species